AAUAACUCUUUACUUCUUAACUCUGAACUCCACCAGCGGCUCUAACACUGAAGGAGUUAAUUCACUGACUCCGCCCAGAAUCAGAUUCCCACCGAAGCGAAGCGACAGAAGCCAAGUCAUUUCAGGACUAUUUACUUUCCAUCUGACUGAGUUAUUUACUGCACUCGGUCCAGUUUGGUUGAGGAUCAAUCUCCAGUCGUCAGCCUAACCUCCCCCUCCUGAUCCCUCCAUGGAUUCUUCGAAGAUUCAAGCUCCAAAAAUGAUUAUAGACCAACACUUUCUGUCCUACUCUGAGACUGAAGACUGUCUGAUGCUGUAGAGGAGCAUGUUGGUGUCUCCGGCCAAACGUCACAAACAGCCCAACAACCUGGAGACAGUCUGUUAGUGAGUGGACAUCUCGGUUUGUUAUGUAUUGUACAUAUCUGGCAAUCUACCUGUUAAAAGAAAAUGUACUCUAUCAUAUUACAUGAACUGCUUGCUUUACUUUCUCAACCUUGUACUUUGAACAAUUUCAUGCAUGUGGCAAUGAAGAAAAAUGUAUUAAUCAUACUGCAUUUUGUWUUGCACAACUAAUAUGUUAGACCUUUUAAAAAGCAAUAUGUGAAUGAAAGCGACAUGUGAAACAUGCACAUUAUUCCACGUUGUAAUA